AUUGAACGCUGGCGGCAUGCCUUACACAUGCAAGUCGAACGGCAGCACGGGAGCAAUCCUGGUGGCGAGUGGCGAACGGGUGAGUAAUAUAUCGGAACGUGCCCAGUCGUGGGGGAUAACGCAGCGAAAGCUGUGCUAAUACCGCAUACGAUCUACGGAUGAAAGCGGGGGAUCGCAAGACCUCGCGCGAUUGGAGCGGCCGAUAUCAGAUUAGCUAGUUGGUGAGGUAAAGGCUCACCAAGGCGACGAUCGGUAGCUGGUCUGAGAGGACGACCAGCCACACUGGAACUGAGACACGGUCCAGACUCCUACGGUAGGCAGCAGUGGGGAAUUUUGGACAAUGGGCGCAAGCCUGAUCCAGCAAUGCCGCGUGCAGGAUGAAGGCCUUCGGGUUGUAAACUGCUCUUGUACGGAACGAAACGGCGAGCUCUAAUACAGUUUGCUAAUGACGGUACCGUAAGAAUAAGCACCGGCUAACUACGUGCCAGCAGCCGCGGUAACAC
rnacentral:rRNA from 1 species